rnacentral:rRNA from 1 species
CAGUCGCCGCGGUAAUACCGAGGAUGCAAGCGUUAUCCGGAAUGAUUGGGCGUAAAGCGCACGUAGGCGGCUUUGUAAGUUAGAGGUGAAAGCCCGGGGCUCAACCCCGGAAUUGCCUUUAAGACUGCAGAGCUAGCAGGUGAGAGAGGUGAGUGGAAUUCCGAGUGUAGAGGUGAAAUUCGUAGAUAUUCGGAAGAACACCAGUGGCGAAGGCGGCUCACUGGCUCAUACUGGACGCUGAGGUGCGAAAGCGUGGGGAGCAAACAGGAUUAGAUACCCCCGUAGUCCCUGUCUCUUAUAC